rnacentral:rRNA from 1 species
CAGCCGCCACGGUAACACGAAGGGGGCUAGCGUUGCUCGGAAUCACUGGGCGUAAAGGGUGCGUAGGCGGGUCUUUAAGUCAGGGGUGAAAUCCUGGAGCUCAACUCCAGAACUGCCUUUGAUACUGAAGAUCUUGAGUUCGGGAGAGGUGAGUGGAACUGCGAGUGUAGAGGUGAAAUUCGUAGAUAUUCGCAAGAACACCAGUGGCGAAGGCGGCUCACUGGCCCGAUACUGACGCUGAGGCACGAAAGCGUGGGGAGCAAACAGGAUUAGAUACCCGUGUAGUCCCUGUCUCUUAUAC